CAGACUCUUACCCUGGCCAGCCGCGGGCGCUGCCAUGAUGAUGAUGCCCACUGUCUGCACAGGCGCGGGUCCGGCCGCGUAAGAACCUGACUCCACUGACACUAGACGGCGGGCCCGAACCCAGGUUCCUGAGUACCUAGUGAUCACCAGAAGCACCCCAGAAGCUGCCUGCCUGCCUGCAGCUUGCUUUCCUAGACGAACUGGGGCUGGAAAAGAAAUAAAGCGCGACACUCGCUGAACACAGACUGGCCUCAGAAAUACGAAAGAUGCCAGCCACAAAACGACCUUUAGUAUGUGAUUCUGUUACAUAGGAUUUGAGAAGAAGCAAUGUCGCAGAGGCGCAGUGGAGCUUUACUAUGAUCAUCAGAGCUGCUCUCUUUCACUCCUUCAGACUUCAUUGUUUUUGUUUCCAGACUUAAGCUGUAUGUCUUCGAUCCUGCUUUCAUACUUCUCUGAAUAAUUAGAGUAAGAAUUCAUCAUGGAAAUGUGACCUUUGGUUCAGUAUAUGUAAUUCAUUUUUUAAAAAAUGACCUGACCUGAGAAUUAUUUUCCCUUCAGCAUGCAUGUAUAUAUCUAUCUAUCUAUAUAUAUGUGUGUGUAUAUACUUGUCUUUUGGCCUCUAUUUUGUUACCAGCUUUUUGUUACCCAAAUUGCUAUUUUUUAAAAUUAUGGAUGUCCGUAUUAACUCUGAUUAUCUCUGCUCCUUAAAUAUACCAAUAUUUUAAAAAUAAAAUAAAUAUUCUCGAAUCGA